UACGUAGGGUCCGAGCGUUGUCCGGAAUUACUGGGCGUAAAGAGCUCGUAGGUGGUUUGUCGCGUUGUCCGUGAAAACUCACAAGCUCAACUGUGGGCGUGCGGGCGAUACGGGCAGACUGGAGUACUGCAGGGGGAGACUGGAAUUCCUGGUGUAGCGGUGGAAUGCGCAGAUAUCAGGAGGAACACCGGUGGCGAAGGCGGGUCUCUGGGCAGUAA
rnacentral:rRNA from 1 species